UCAAAAUACGAGAUUCAACAAUCUCCCCCUUUUUGAUGAUGACAACUACUUGAUGACGGAGUUAAACUUAACUCCCGGAGUUUAAACAAACUCCCCCUAUCAAUAUGCCAUAUUGAUAGAACCUUGAAUUCAAACUGAAUUCAAGUCAUUGCAAUAUUCAUCAUGAAUACUUGCAACACGUCAACAUGAACAUAUGCAUAAACUUAUGCAUAACAUGUCAUGUCAUCAACAUACUU
rnacentral:lncRNA from 1 species